AUUCAUCUCUUCCCCCACAAACGUCCCCACACCCCACUGCUUCAUCUCUCGCGCGUUACGACAACGAGACCCAAAAAUUUUCCCCAUCUGAGGCCGGCGCGAGGUCCUCCCUCUCAGGCGGAGACCGGUGCUCCUCCUUAGGCGCAGCAAACGGACGCAUCUUAGAUUAUUUUUCUCGUUAUCUAUAUGCUUCGACCCUUUCCACUGGCAGUAGCAGCAGGCCAGCGACACACCACCAUGUCUAGUAGCCUAACGAUCCGAAUCUGUUUUAUUAAUCAAGUAUAACACAGUGCGAGAUAGAUUAUAAAAUGUUAGGUAAUUUCUUACUGAUUCUUGAAUCAAAUUUACACAAAUGUGUAUAAUAUUUAUGGUUAUCGUUAUUCAUUCUAUUGAAUCCUGCUAAUUGAGUUGGAUGAUGGAAGUAUUGAAAUGAACCUUUUCAAUUUAACUGUGUUUCUUGUUUAAUGAGACCUGUUUGAGUAAGCUACUGAAAAUGUGCUUAGAAUUUGCUUGGAAUUUUUAUAGAGAUAGAGAAUGAUUUCAUA